rnacentral:pre_miRNA from 1 species
AAGGUCCAACCUCACAUGUCCUGUAUGUAAUAAAGGGGAUGUAUGUGGUCAGACCUAUC